rnacentral:rRNA from 1 species
UACAGAGGGUGCGAGCGUUUAAUCGGAAUUACUGGGCGUAAAGCGCGCGUAGGUGGUUCAGUAAGUUGGAUGUGAAAUCCCCGGGCUCAACCUGGGAACUGCAUCCAAAACUGCUGAGCUAGAGUAUGGUAGAGGGUGGUGGAAUUUCCUGUGUAGCGGUGAAAUGCGUAGAUAUAGGAAGGAACACCAGUGGCGAAGGCGACCACCUGGACUGAUACUGACACUGAGGUGCGAAAGCGUGGGGAGCAAACAGG